rnacentral:rRNA from 1 species
UCCCUACGGGACGCAGCAGUGAGGAAUAUUGGUCAAUGGGCGCAAGCCUGAACCAGCCAAGUCGCGUGAGGGAUGACGGUCCUAUGGAUUGUAAACCUCUUUUGUCGGGGAGCAAGGCCCGCCACGUGUGGCGGGAAGGAGAGUACCCGAAGAAAAAGCAUCGGCUAACUCCGUGCCAGCAGCCGCGGUAAUACGUAGGUGGCAAGCGUUGUCCGGAUUUAUUGGGCGUAAAGCGAGUGCAGGCGGUUCAAUAAGUCUGAUGUUGAAGCCUUCGGCUCAACCGGAGAAUUGCA